AAGAGCCGUGUGCGUAAAUAGCGCACGCACGGUUCUGUGAGGGGCCGGGGUCAACGGAUGUAUGGUUGAGAUCUUGUGGCACCGCCGGGAAACCAGGCGGAAACAGAGAAGACAAACAUCAACCUACAGCAUCUGGAGUAACCGGUCUACUCGAC
rnacentral:ncRNA from 1 species